AGGCCCCAUCAGUCAGCCUUCAGUUAAAACCAGAGAGAAUACCUGCUGUCUACAAAGCCUUCUCCUGGGCAAGGAAUAUCUAGAAGAACUAGGAGGACCUGACUUCAGAGAGCUUAAAAUUUUGCCAAACCAACUGAUAUCAUAGAGUGUGACAGAAAGCCGAGGUCUUGAGACAUUGUAAGCACUAUCCUCUGUACUCCCUCAACGUGGCCUCCAUGUGGCUGAAGCUGGGAAGAUUGUACAUGGGCCUGGAGAACAAAGCUGCUGGGGAGAGAGCUCUGAAGAAGGCCAUUGCCAUCAUGGAAGUAGCUCAUGGCAAAGACCAUCCAUACGUUUCUGAGAUCAAACAGGAAAUUGAAAGCCACUGAAACUAUGCUGACAUUUUAGUUUUUAUUUAGAUCCAAGUGCAGAAACCUUCGAGGAUUUGACUGUUUCAAAUCAUACACGUCAUGCCAACAUCUCUGUAAACUCAUUGGAAUGAAAACACGACUUGCACUUAACCUUACAAAUGGCUUACUUGGAUGUUGGUCUUAAUCUUUAACCUUAAUAUCAAAUUAAUUUUUGAAUGCUUUUUUUCCCUAAAAGAUAAUGGCAUGGUUUCAUAUAUUAUAAUAUACAUUUAAAAAUGCAGUUGUUUUUCCCUUCAUGCCCACUGUAAUGUUCUAAACAAACAUGAAUGAUGAAAGAGAAUUAAAAAAGAUAAUAGUA